UACGUAGGGUGCAAGCGUUGUCCGGAAUUAUUGGGCGUAAAGAGCUCGUAGGCGGUCUGUUGCGUCGGCUGUGAAAACCCGGGGCUCAACCCCGGGCCUGCAGCCGAUACGGGCAGACUAGAGUUCGGCAGGGGAGACUGGAAUUCCUGGUGUAGCGGUGAAAUGCGCAGAUAUCAGGAGGAACACCGGUGGCGAAGGCGGGUCUCUGGGGCCGAAACUGACGCUGAGGAGCGAAAGCUAGGGGAGCAAACGGG
rnacentral:rRNA from 1 species